rnacentral:misc_RNA from 1 species
GAUUUAUCAGUUGUUCGGUGUUAGUUGAGAAGAAUGCGCAUACUUGACACGAUUCUCGUGCUCGUGAUUCUCUGCACGAGCCUCGCCGCAUGCUGGUCCUUCUCAAACGUGGCGAUGUCCAUCGACAAGCUGAUACGACCGCAAAAUGACAGCUCAAUGGUUUUAAACUUUAAAGAGAACGACGCCACCUCAACGGCAUCCCCGGAUGUCACGAUGCAAGGCAGGAUAAUAUUUGUUCCACGAAGAAGUAAAACUCAUUGUCAACCGGGUCAGCAAAUUGAUCGGCGAGGCAAGUGCAGGAUAGUGUGGUAAAACGUGACAAAUAAUCAAUAAGAAUUUUUAUAGAUAAUUGAAGUGCUCCUGUUCAAUUAUCUAUGAAAGAAGACAAUCCCACAAGGAAACAGAAGAAUUAACAGGAUCAAAAACAUAUAAGAAUAUUAUUUAUAAUUGUUAAAAAUGAUUGAAAAAGGAAAUCAUGGAUUUCAGUUAAAUGUACCUAAUUAAUUAAUAAUAUAUAGUAAUAAUAAUAUACAAUAACUUAUAAGUAGGAUGUUUAAAUCACCGAAUUGAAUUGGCAAUCUUAGAUUCUAUUUAAAAUAUAAUUAAGAUGCAACAAAUUAUUUGCUACACAUAUUUAUCCCACAAACGCAAAAAAUCUUAAGCGUGCAAUAAUUUCGAUUUAUUAUAAAUAUUAUUACAAAGUUUUAAAUUUAUAUUUAAUAUUAAAUGAAAUGGAGAGAGUCCUGGAAUUGAUUAAUUUGCUGCUUGCGCUGCAAUUUUUUAAUUUUAUUUUGUCUACGCUUUGUACGCUUGCUAAAACCAUUUACAAUAAAUAUUCUAAGAUAGUAAUGUAUAUUCAAUCAAUUAUUGAAAGAAAGAGAGAGAGAGAGAGAGAGCAUUACACUCGAAAAAAUGACAACAGUAAAAAUUAUAUGUAUAAAAAUUAACUGAGAUAAAUGAUUAGCAAAUACUGUUGCAAUCUAUCUCUUAAUCAAUUUAACUGAUAGAAAUAGAAUUUACAAAUUCUGUGAUAGCCAAAAUUCAAGAUAAAGAUAUAAAAAUUAGCGACAUAUUUUAAUUGUGACAUCAAGUUUGCUUACAUCAAUAAAAUAUAUUUUUUGCGUGUUCUCGCAUCAACUUUUACGUUAUAUAGAAUAAUUUUGUUAGUAAGAUAAAUCAAAUUAAAUUGUACUUCUUCUUGAACAAGAUUAUACUCUACAUUAUUAUUAUGGUUAAAUAUGUUUAAAUAUUACAAUUAUUUAUUAAAUAAACAAAGUACACGGCAAACAUUAUAUAUAAAGUGAAUAAUUGAAAUGUUUAUAUACAGAUACAAGUAUGUCUGUCAUGUAUAAGUCUCACAAAAUGAAUAAAAUAUUUUUAAUAUAUAUAUUUGUAUAGAUUUUUUAUAUCGCCCCACAUUUCCAUUGAGUCAUGAGAAAAGUCUUUUUAAUAAUAUUUGCACCUAAAUCUCUAAAACAUGCAUGGCGUACUCAAUAUUGUGCUGCGAAAGUUGCGAAUAAACGCUCGUGCGUAAGCAAUCAGGAUAUGAUUUCGACCACUAAUUAACGAUAACAAAACGGGAAGGAGACGAGAAACCGCACUGAUAAAACUUUCCUAAGGUAUAAAUACAUCCGUUAUCAUUAUAUGAGAGUCCAAUCUAGUUAUUACCAAGUAUCUUAAUGUUGCAAGCGUACACCGAGGAAGAAAGAAAGAAACUUGACGCCAAUUCAUCUGAUUUUGUCUACCUAAUUUGAAAUUCAGAAGAAAGUGAUCAGGAAAUAUCGUCUGCAGUAAUGGCACCAGCCAGCUUGAUUCUACUGAUUCUGGUGUCAAUAAUGUUAGUAUUUGCGUGCGAUGGACGGCCACUGACUUUCCCCAUAAGAAACCGUACGAAAUGUCUACCUGGCUAUAGGCGCAUUCGUACCGGAGGAUGCAGAAAGAUUUUAGCAGCUUAAAAGUACGACUUCCUACCUUGCACAAGAAUGUCAGAAGAUAUUCCCAAAGUUAUAUAUCAGCAACGUAAACAAUAACGGUCGUAUCAUUUCAAUAUUAUCACAUCUUUUGACUUAAGUAAUAUGGAUUGCAUGCGGAAGAAACCACUUUAAGAAAAUCAUUGAUCAUCAGGAAUUCAAUAUGCUUUUGUUACGAAUAUAUACCACAUAAAUGUCGUGUAUACAUCUUUAUUUGGAUGAAAAAUAAUAUCAGAAAAGGUAA